CCCCCAGUAGCUCAGAGGAAGAGCAGAGGCUUUCUAAUCCUUAGGUCGGGUGUUCGAUUCGCCCCUGGGGGA
rnacentral:tRNA from 1 species